rnacentral:rRNA from 2 species
AGAGUUUGAUCCUGGCUCAGGAUGAACGCUGGCGGCGUGCUUAACACAUGCAAGUCGAACGAUGAUCCCAGCUUGCUGGGGGAUUAGUGGCGAACGGGUGAGUAACACGUGAGUAACCUGCCCUUGACUCUGGGAUAAGCCUGGGAAACUGGGUCUAAUACCGGAUACGACCAUCUGGCGCAUGUCAUGGUGGUGGAAAGCUUUUGUGGUUUUGGAUGGACUCGCGGCCUAUCAGCUUGUUGGUGGGGUAAUGGCCUACCAAGGCGACGACGGGUAGCCGGCCUGAGAGGGUGACCGGCCACACUGGGACUGAGACACGGCCCAGACUCCUACGGGAGGCAGCAGUGGGGAAUAUUGCACAAUGGGCGCAAGCCUGAUGCAGCGACGCCGCGUGAGGGAUGACGGCCUUCGGGUUGUAAACCUCUUUCAGUAGGGAAGAAGCGAAAGUGACGGUACCUGCAGAAGAAGCGCCGGCUAACUACGUGCCAGCAGCCGCGGUAAUACGUAGGGCGCAAGCGUUAUCCGGAAUUAUUGGGCGUAAAGAGCUCGUAGGCGGUUUGUCGCGUCUGCUGUGAAAGACCGGGGCUCAACUCCGGUUCUGCAGUGGGUACGGGCAGACUAGAGUGCAGUAGGGGAGACUGGAAUUCCUGGUGUAGCGGUGAAAUGCGCAGAUAUCAGGAGGAACACCGAUGGCGAAGGCAGGUCUCUGGGCUGUAACUGACGCUGAGGAGCGAAAGCAUGGGGAGCGAACAGGAUUAGAUACCCUGGUAGUCCAUGCCGUAAACGUUGGGCACUAGGUGUGGGGGACAUUCCACGUUUUCCGCGCCGUAGCUAACGCAUUAAGUGCCCCGCCUGGGGAGUACGGCCGCAAGGCUAAAACUCAAAGGAAUUGACGG